CGCUCACCUGUUUUUGAUGAU
rnacentral:siRNA from 1 species